CUGGCACCUCGCUCCUGGGCAGCAGAGAAGGACAAGGACCCUUGACCCAGAGCCCUCAGAGCCUCUCGAGCAGCAGGUUCCCAGCAGGGUCCAGCUGGAAGUGGGAGCUCAGCAAACACCAGUGGAGUGGGUCACAUGCCAGGGCCACCAAACCCUUCACAGGGGCCACUCCAGUCCACACCCCAGUGCCCCAGUAUAAAAUUCCCAGUCCCAGCAGCCAGGCUGGGUUGGGAAUGGGAGGAGAAGGAGGAAGAGGAGGAAGAGGAGGAGGAGGAGGAGGCAGCCAUGGAGAGCAGCAUGAAGCAGGUGGUGUUUGAAGAGGAGGUGAGUCCCUGCAGCACCACGGUGUCCCUGCAGCCAGCUCAGCACCCAGUUUAUCCCAGCAAGGCACGGGAUGGGGGUUUGGACCAUGGGGUGCUGCAUUCCCAGUGCCCAGGAUGGGGGUUUGGACCAUGGGGUGCUCCAUUCCCAGUGCCCGGGAUGGGGGUUUGGACCAUGGGGUGCUCCAUUCCCAGUGCCCGGGAUGGGGGUUUGGACCAUGGGAUGCUCCAUUCCCAGUGCCCGGGAUGGGGGUUUGACCAUGGGGUGCUGCAUUCCCAGUGCCCAAAAGCAGCUGCAACCCCACCUCAACCUCCUGCAUCCCCCAGCUCCCACCUGCACCCCCCUAACCGCACCUCCCCACACUUCCCCGCACCCCCAGGACUCGGGGAACGGCUGCUGCUGCCCGGGCUGCUGCCUGCCCUGCGCCACGUGCUGCGCCAAAUGCUGCACCAGAUGCAGCGUGUGCUGCGCCAAAUGCUGCACCAGGUGCGGCAUGUGCUGCGCCAGGUGCUGCUGCCUGCCCAAGUGCUGCCGGUGCCCCAAGUGCCCCAAGUGCCCCAAGUGUCCCGGCUGCGGCAGCUGCUCCGGCUGCCUCAUGAAGUCGCUGUGCUUCGUCCCUCGGCUGCUCUGCUACCUGCCCCGCAAGCUCCUGAGCUGCUGCCACCUGCGCUGUCUGCUGAUCGUGGUGGUCGUGGUGGUGCUGCUGGUGCUCAUCAUCGCCGCCGCCCUGCUGAUGCGGCUCAGCGUCGAUCAGAGCCGCGGCGACACCGUGAGUGCGGAUCCCCCCAAAUGCCGUCAGCAGGGACCCCCCGAUGCCCGGGGGGAGGGGUCGUUGAAGCCUCUGAGAUCCCCCCCCCCCCCGCUCCUGAGCUGCUGCCACCUGCGCUGCCUGCUGAUCGUGGUGGUCGUGGUGGUGCUGCUGGUGCUCAUCAUCGCCGCCGCCCUGCUGAUGCGGCUCAGCGUCGAUCAGAGCCGCGGCGACACCGUGAGUGCGGAUCCCCCCAAAUGCCGUCAGCAGGGACCCCCCGAUGCCCGGGGGGAGGGGUCGUUGAAGCCUCUGAGAUCCCCCCCCCCCCCCCCCCCCCCCCCCCCCCCCCCCCCCCCCCCCCCCCCCCCCCCCCCCCCCCCCCCCCCCCCCCCCCCCCCCCCCCCCCCCCGAGGGGGAGAUGGGAUGGAGCUGAGCCGGGUUUGGCUGCCAACAGCUGCUGGUGAGCUACAGAGCCCGGCUGCACCGCGCCUGCUACGUGACCCGCGUGGACAAGGACAACAUCCCGGGGCUGGACACCGUGCUCGGCACCUUCCAGCGCCGGCAGGUAGGACUCCAGGUUGGAAUGCUGGUGGCCAAGCGACCUCCAGGGCCACCAGCAGGGCUGCAAAGGGAGCCAGAUCCCAAAAGCUGAGCCCGGCGUGGGAAAGGCAGGCUGGGAAAAGGCUCCCUGGAGAGGCUGGGCUCCCCGGGGCGCUGCGUGAGAAAGGGGCGAUCUCAGGCUGGAAAUCAACGGCUGCAUCCUGACAUCAUGGAUUUACAUCAUCCAGGGACUCAGCAAACAUCCUCCCCAGCCUGAGCACAGGAUGAAAACAAAAAGUAUUCCAAAGCUUGGCUUGUUUGUUUUCCUUCUGUCUUGGAGGUUGGAGUUGAGUCCAGCAGUUGCUCCCCGAAUUCCCGUCCCUGGGAUGCCUGACGCGAGGGCAGAGCGGGGACACGGAGUCAUCCUGGUUUUCCUGGGGUUUAUUUAUCUGCUUUGAGGAGGAAAGUUUUGCUGGAUGUGGGUUUUGCAAUAAGGGAGAACGAGGAAAACAUCCUGGGAUGAUCCUGAUGGGGGAGGAAAGCAGCAGCAGAGAUAAGGGGUGAAGGAGACGCCGGCAUUCCUGGUGGGAACGAGCCAGGCCCUGGUGAAGGGGAUCCCCAAAAAUGAAGGGAAAGAGGAUUUGGGGGCUUGGUGGAGCAGAACAGGGUUCACCCAGUGGGUCCCUGUGUGUCACCGGACACAGGGAACGCUUAAAAACCUUAAAAAAUGAAAUGAAUGCAAGUUCUGGGAGCGCUGUGAGGGAGGGAUGGGUUUGUAGGAGCAGCACAGGACGAGCCAGAUCUGCUCAGCCCCAGUUCCUCCCGCAGAAUUCCCAGGCUGGGAGGGGACACUGCCAGGGGACAGGGUUGUGGCCCCGUGUCCUGGCAUCCAGACGCCCCCAGAUCCCCCUGGGGGGCUCACCCUGCCCCCUGAGCGCUCUCUGAGGGGCUGACCCAGCUCCUGGGGGGCUCAUCCCGACCCCAGGGCGCUCACACACCCCCUCAGGGGGCUCACCCACCCUCCACAAGGCGGUCAUCUCACUUUUGGGGUGCUUGGCCACCGUUCUGGGUGCUCAUCCAGCUUUUGGGGUGCUCAUCCAGCUUUUGGGGUGCUCACCCAACUUUCCUGAGCUGCCCGUCCUGCUCCUGGGCUCCUCGCCCACCAUUCCCAGUUCCUGGGGUGCUCAUUCAGUCCUUGGGGUGCUGGCCAGGAUUUGGGGUGUAGGAUUAAGGGAUGCAGGAUUGGGAGUCCAGGACUGGGAGAAAUGGGACUGGAAGAUGAGGGGGAUGCAGGAGCUGGGAUGUGGGGUGGGAAUGUGGGGCGCCAGACCAGGACAUGGGGUGUGGGGAUGGGUAAUUUGGGGGACACGGGAUGGCAGCAAAAGGGGACAGAUGGGUGCUGGGAAAAGCGGGAUUUUGUGUCCUGGGAAUAUCGGGGGGCCAGGAUCGAUCCAGGUACCGGGGAAUGGGACCGAGGGUGGCACCACCGGGGCUGGGGGACACCGGGUGGGAGCGGGGGGGGGAACGAGGACCGGACUGGGAAUGCGGGACUGGACCCCCCCCCCCCCCCCCCCCCCCCCCCCCCCCCCCCCCCC
rnacentral:lncRNA from 1 species